rnacentral:misc_RNA from 1 species
UGCGGAAGGAUCAUUACUGAUUUGCUUAAUUGCACCACAUGUGUUUUUCUUUGAAACAAACUUGCUUUGGCGGUGGGCCCAGCCUGCCGCCAGAGGUCUAAACUUACAACCAAUUUUUUAUCAACUUGUCACACCAGAUUAUUACUAAUAGUCAAAACUUUCAACAACGGAUCUCUUGGUUCUCGCAUCGAUGAAGAACGCAGCGAAAUGCGAUACGUAAUAUGAAUUGCAGAUAUUCGUGAAUCAUCGAAUCUUUGAACGCACAUUGCGCCCUCUGGUAUUCCGGAGGGCAUGCCUGUUUGAGCGUCGUUUCUCCCUCAAACCGCUGGGUUUGGUGUUGAGCAAUACGACUUGGGUUUGCUUGAAAGACGGUAGUGGUAAGGCGGGAUCGCUUUGACAAUGGCUUAGGUCUAACCAAAAACAUUGCUUGCGGCGGUAACGUCUACCACGUAUAUCUUCAAACUUUGACCUCAAAUCAGGUAGG